AGUGAACGCUGGCGGUAGGCCUAACACAUGCAAGUCGAACGGCAGCACAGUAAGAGCUUGCUCUUACGGGUGGCGAGUGGCGGACGGGUGAGGAAUACAUCGGAAUCUACUUUUUCGUGGGGGAUAACGUAGGGAAACUUACGCUAAUACCGCAUACGACCUACGGGUGAAAGCAGGGGAUCUUCGGACCUUGCGCGAUUGAAUGAGCCGAUGCCGGAUUAGCUAGUUGGCGGGGUAAAGGCCCACCAAGGCGACGAUCCGUAGCUGGUCUGAGAGGAUGAUCAGCCACACUGGAACUGAGACACGGCCCAGACUCCUACGGGAGGCAGCAGUGGGGAAUAUUGGACAAUGGGCGCAAGCCUGAUCCAGCCAUACCGCGUGGGUGAAGAAGGCCUUCGGGUUGUAAAGCCCUUUUGUUGGGAAAGAAAAGCAGCAGGUUAAUACCCCGCUGUUCUGACGGUACCCAAAGAAUAAGCACCGGCUAACUUCGUG
rnacentral:rRNA from 1 species